UACGUAGGGUGCAAGCGUUGUCCGGAAUUAUUGGGCGUAAAGAGCUCGUAGGCGGUCUGUCGCGUCGGCUGUGAAAACUCGGGGCUCAACCCCGAGCCUGCAGUCGAUACGGGCAGACUAGAGUUCGGUAGGGGAGACUGGAAUUCCUGGUGUAGCGGUGAAAUGCGCAGAUAUCAGGAGGAACACCGAUGGCGAAGGCAGGUCUCUGGGCCGAUACUGACGUGAGGAGCGAAAGCGUGGGGAGCGAACAGG
rnacentral:rRNA from 1 species